rnacentral:misc_RNA from 1 species
GAUGAAGAACGCAGCGAAAUGCGAUACGUAAUGUGAAUUGCAGAAUUCAGUGAAUCAUCGAAUCUUUGAACGCACAUUGCACUCUCUGGUAUUCCGGAGAGUAUGCUUGUUUGAGUAUCUGUAAACAUCUCAAAUCUCUCUUCAAUUGCUUCAAUUGGGUCGAGAGAAUUGGAUUUGAGCGAUCCCGACUCCUUCGUCAGAAAGAGGAGGGUCGCUUGAAAUGCAGGUGCAGCUGGACAUUCUUCUGAGCAAAAAGCAUAUCUAUUUAGUCCCGUCAAACAGAUUAUUACUUUUGCUUCAGCUAAUAUAAAGGUUGAAUGAACUACCAACGCUGAUUGCAGGAAAACAUGUUCGUUUAUUCGGACUUGUAAACUCGAUCUCAAAUCAAGUAAGACUACCCGCUGAACUUAAGCAUAUCAAUAAGCGGAGGA